UACGUAGGGUGCAAGCGUUAAUCGGAAUUACUGGGCGUAAAGCGCACGCAGGUGGCUGAGUCAGUCGAUUGUGAAAGCCCUGGGCUUAACCUGGGAAUUGCAGUCGAUACUACUCAGCUAGAGUAUGGGAGAGGGUAGUGGAAUUCCCGGUGUAGCGGUGAAAUGCGUAGAUAUCGGGAGGAACAUCAGUGGCGAAGGCGGCUACCUGGCCCAAUACUGAUGCUCAGGUGCGACAGCGUGGGGAGCAAACAGG
rnacentral:rRNA from 1 species